GCGAAAUAGCGAAUUGUCAGAAAUGUUAGUGCAAUUCUUUUACGAAUUUGCUUCAGAAAACGCAAGAAAUGCAGUCAUCGAGCUUCAAGAAUAGCACAAUCGCCUGGCGGAGAACCCCUCACACCCCUAUCAUCCAAUAAAUACAAAACAUGAUUAGGCGAAGUUCAACUCCCGAUGUUUUGCAAACAUCUCUUAGUAUAUAUCAAUUCAAAAGUGCCCUUUCACGAAAAUCUGCCCCCCUUGCCUUCACAUCGUUCCGGCGUCCCUGGUUUUAAUUGUCUGCAUUGGAUAAUGAAAAUUUGAUGCCACCCAAAAAUGGCGGAUAUUCAUCAUCAUGAGAAAGGCUAAUUG